UACCUGCUCUUGACAUCCACGGAAUUUGGCAGAGAUGCCUUAGUGCCUUCGGGAACCGUGAGACAGGUGCUGCAUGGCUGUCGUCAGCUCGUGUUGUGAAAUGUUGGGUUAAGUCCCGCAACGAGCGCAACCCUUAUCCUUUGUUGCCAGCGAUUCGGUCGGGAACUCAAAGGAGACUGCCGGUGAUAAACCGGAGGAAGGUGGGGAUGACGUCAAGUCAUCAUGGCCCUUACGAGCAGGGCUACACACGUGCUACAAUGGCGCAUACAAAGAGAAGCGACCUCGCGAGAGCAAGCGGACCUCACAAAGUGCGUCGUAGUCCGGAUCGGAGUCUGCAACUCGACUCCGUGAAGUCGGAAUCGCUA
rnacentral:rRNA from 1 species